CCCUUAGAUGUUCUGGGCCGCACGCGCGCUACACUGACGAAGUCAGCGAGCAUGUCCUACGCCGGCAGGUGCGGGGAAUCUUGUGAAACUUUGUCGUGCUGGGGAUUGAUUUUUGAAAUUCUUGAUCAUGAACGAGGAAUUCCUAGUAAGCGCAAGUCAGCAGCUUGCGUUGAUUACGUCCCUGCCCUUUGUACACACCGCCCGUCGCUACUACCGAUUGAAUGGUUUAGUGAGGAGUCUGGAUCCCCGCCGCCACUGCCAGCGAUGGGAGGGGAGGAGGGGGAGAAGUUCUCCUAACUGUAUCAUUUAGAGGAAGUAAAAGUCGUAACA
rnacentral:rRNA from 1 species